CAUCCAGUUGAGAAUGAUGAAUGUGCAGUGGGAGUGGUGACACUUGAGGGAAAAGGAUGGGAGCUGUUACCAGGAAACUCUUGACCUGUGUGCAUGCAAGGAAAGGAACUGACUGCCUUCAAAGAGAAGAGAAGGACAGGAGGAGGAAGAGAAUGGAUAGUCUUGCUACUCCCAUUGCCUUUUAUCAGAACUGCAGUGUGUUUCCCAAGCAGAGAAAGGAGACAGCAAAUUGGUGAUUGUGAGAAAUCAAUUGCUUUUACUUCAUGAUGCAACUCCAAAAUAAUUUUGUGGAAAUAUAAUACUGGUGGAUUUGCUUUGGAGAGGAAAAAAAUACUAUUUGAGAAGAAGGUUACUUGCCUGACCAGAAGAAUUAUUGAGGGAACCCCAUUUUAAAAGAGCUGGAUGCCUAAGCCUGAAUUAAUAAACUAGGAACUGCUGUUGAAGUAAUGCAAGGAAUUUCUGAAGCAAAGACAGAGGAGAUCUUGGCAAAACAAGAAGGAGUAACAGGAGUGUAUAUGAAAAAAUGUAUGGGGAUGUAGAAGCAUGGAUAAGGAGCAGCAACCACUGACUGGACCAUCAGGCACAAUCCAGAACAUGUCAAGACCCUUAAAUUUGAGAAUGUGGGUGAAGGAAAAUGACUGCUGGUGUCGAGUGGUGCCCAGAGCUGGGGGCUGAGGCAGCUUCCGUAAAUUCCCCUCCUGUUUAUCCCACUCCUUGUUUAUUUUGGGAGCCUGCUUGGCUUGUGGCUGUGAGAGGGGAUGUUAAAAAGGAGCUGCCAGGCUCAGUGAGGUUUUCCCAGCUGGCCCAUGGGGAGGACAAGCAGGAUAACAAGGGGAAAGGGGGAGCUGCAGGGAUCUGCACCUCCUGGUGCCCUGGGCACACCUUGGGCAGGGGGCUGCAGGGCAGGACAAGUCACAACCACUGCCUUGAAGGCUCAGCUAAAGGCAGAAGAUGAUGCCCUUCUUUUCCAGGCCACUGUGCCACUGGCAAAGAGUGAUUCCUGCUUUUUGAGCUUGGAAAGAGAAGAUGAAGCAGUGACUCAACGAGCCUGGGCACUCCAAAUAAUGCCAUCAGCACAAGGUUGGACUAUGCCCUGUUACUGUUCUCUCCGAUGUUUUGAAGUUCUAAGCAUGUGUCUGAGCACACACAGAGGAGCUCUUAUGAAAAAGACAUCUGUCACCAUUUCCUAAACUUAUAAGACAUGCAAUUCCUGCUUUCAAAAUUGUCAGGCAUCUGGCAGGGAAAAGAUCUGGCAAAGGCCAUGCUGUACUCUGCAGGAGGAAGUGAAACUACCUAAAUACUACAGGAUCAAAAAGCAAGUAAAUUGAGAGAGGUCACAUCACCCAUAUCAUAUUUGAUGUGGUAUCACAGAAACCCAGGAGUCUAAAUUUGCUUCAAGUACUCUUGAGUAAACAAGUUUGGGUUUGAUGUUAAGAAUGUUUAAUUAAUUCAAUUAAUCAUUUUACUAAAAAUGUUCCCGUCAAAGGUUUAGCAUUAAAUGGAAAAGUGUCUUCUCAAGAGAUUAGUUUCACAGAUCUGUCUUCAUGCUCUGUUACUUUCAUUACAUGAUUAUUGACAUUAUUAUAUUCAUUUGGUGUCUUUUCUUAGGGACAAAUCUCCCUAAUUUCCCACUUAAUUAAUUGUUUUUCAGGCAAUUGCAAUUGUGACUCUAACCUGCUCAAAUUCAUGAUUAGAAUGUCUGAACUUUGUGAUACAUUUAUCUGAUUUUCAAUUAUUUUAUAGAUUAAGACAUAAUUGAAAAAAAUAAUAGUUACUUUCAGAGAUGUUUUUCACCAUUUUGAUUGUCUUAGGCUUCUAGGGAAAGACCAGCAGAACAAGAGAAGAUUCUGCACCUCCCAAGAACACUCUCAAGUACCUGCAGAGCUGUUCUGAGCUACCAUCACCCACCAGCCUUGCUGAGCCUUGUCACCAGCAGAGCUCAAAGCAGCUGCUCUGAAACUUCCAGGGAAAUUCAGCCCAAAUCCUGUUUGCUUUGCCAGAACAAGUGAAGUGUAGAACAUAUUAAGUAGGCUUGUUUCAGCCUCUUAACAAGAUUAUGAGAAGGGGAAAGUUCAUUUGAGAAGUAAAGUGGACUGCAAGGCACAAAACGUUCAUUAUUUGUAAGGGGAGGUUGUUUUGUUUAAUGCAAAUGUGUCUGUAACUGUGUUUGAAACCUUUGGCUGAAUUAAUUAUCCUUUUAAAUCAUUCCAGAUAACAAAGCUCCAAACUAAGAACCCUUUUUGUACCAGAUAAAGCUGUGCCACCUUUCUCAGUUCUGUGAGCCAAUCCACUACCAAACCUGGAGCCAAGCACUGAAGCUGAAUAUGAAACUGGGAUAUACUCAGGAGCACCUGCAAGACUGCAGCCAAAGAAGGGAAGAGCACUUGGGAAGGCAUGAAAAAAAUAAGGAGAUAUACUGAGGGUCUAAAUUAUUGUAAUGGAUAGAGACAGGCACCUCCUGGAAAUGACAAUUCUCCAUAGGGUGCUGAACACGAGAGAUCUCCAGGGAGGGAGAUCAGUUUGAGGAGCUGGGAGUCUGAUACGUCAAAUCACACUGAGAAAAACAAAAGGAAACCCCACAGUUACCAAACCAAGCACACAUAGUUCCUCUCAGGCCACAACAUUGACACUUCACUGUAACAGAACACUUAAUCCUGUGAGUAAGGAUUAGCACUGCACAGGCCCUGUCCAGAGAGCUCGUUGCUAUAGAUUGUUCAAAAUUAAUUGAUUUCCUUGCAUCAGUGCUCUAUGAGAAUGAUUUGUUUUGCUCCAUGCACCUAAAUUUUGCUAGGAAAGUUUAGGUUGGACCAAUUAAACACAACUAAAUUGUGAUAACUUGGGGAAAGGUUUUCACUGGAACUGUGAUUUAAAGAACUUCUUUUUCUUUGCUAAUAAUGCAAAAUGUUUUGAUUAAGAAUACUGUUACUGACAACAUACAGGGCUUGUGAGGCCUUGAGGGAUGUCUUGGCUGUUCCAUGUGCCUUUAUCCUCACAGGAAAUGGGGAUACCUGGGUGAACUGUGUAGUCCAUAAAGUCUGCACAUAUCCCCACAACUUGUUCCCCUACACAGCCAGAUACUGGGGACUCAAGUCCUUCCUUCUCCCCUUAAAAUAAAAAAUGAGGGACAACAAAGAUUUCCAGUCACAAAAAUUAUGGGUUUAGUUUAACUGUUCCAACAAACCUGCAACAGAAAGCAACUGGUUGAAUGAGGAAAAGGUGUUUGUUUCCACCUAGCCCAAAGCCUGAUUCCAGAUCUGCCCUUGCUGUGUUGAGGUCCCUUGUCCCUUUUCCUGUCCUGGUUUAACCCCACCCAGCAGCCACUCACUCACCUCUCACCAGAGGAAUCAGAGAGAGGAUCAGAUAUGUAGAAGUGAGAAAAUUCAUGGGUUGAGACAAAGACAGUUCAACAAGAAAAGCAAAAGCUACCUGCACAAAUAAAGUAAAACAAGGAACUCUUUCACCACUCCCCAGAUGUUCAGCACCUCCAGAAGGGCAGGGCUCCAUCACACGUAUUUGGGAAGACAAAGCACCAUCACCCCAAACAUUUCUACCUUCCUCCUUCCCUCCCUUUUGUGUACUGAGCAUGAUGUCAGCUGGUCUGAAAUGUCCUUUGGUCAGCUGGGGUCACCUGUCCUGGCUGUGUCUCCUACCAGCUCCCCAAACACCCCCAAGUUCCUUCACCAGCCUGGCAGUAGGAAAAGCAGAAAAAGCCUUGGCUCUCUGCAAUCCCUGCUCAGCAACAACAAAAACAUUUCUGUGUUAUCACCCCUGUGUUCAGCACAAAUCCAAACCAGACCCAUUCAAGCCACUAGGAAUAAGAUUAACCCUACCCCAGGCAAAGAAAGAGGGUCCUGUUUUCCAAGAAGCUUUAAACACAAAUGAUUAAUCUUUAGAGAAAUCCAUAGCAUUUAUACGGGGGAAGAAAGAAAAUCACAUAAUUUAUGUGGUCAGUGUGUGUCUCUUCUUGCCUUCUCCCACUCCUGCUUUCUCCUCUUGUGUGUCCAAGCAACGCUUACUCUUAAUUAGUAUUGGCCUACUACUCCUUGUAGACCACAAUAUUUCUGAAGAGCUCCAAGACACCCAAAUAAUUACAUCUCCUCUGGUUAAGACUGAACUCAAAAUGCAACUUUUUCAAGUGUGUGGUUACCAUCCUUUUCAUUCAAGCAGCAGUUACUCACUACAACUCCUUGUACUUUACACCUGUGCUACACAGGACCUAGGAGCCCUGUGAGUGAGGCUUGUUAGGAGAAAAAACACCCAGACAUUUAACUGGGACACAAGAGGAUUGGAAACUGAGCCCUUGUGCCUGUACAGAAAACUGCAACCCCUCAGCAUGCUGCUCUCAGGGUUUGCCAUCAUUAAGUCACAGCCAGGAUGGCUCUUUGGAUUCCUGAGGCUGGAACUGGCAGGAAGGGUUUUAUUUGCUGCAGGAGAUGUAAGCUCUCCCAAGCAAACCUCACAAAUGAACCAUGCCCAGCCAUAUGCAGAGAAAGCAGCCUUUGGAGGGUGACAAUCUCUGGAGUGAGCUGGUAAUUGUGUCCCAUUGCCAGGGCAGACAUCACACGGGCAUGUUGUGCGCUCCUGCCUUCUUGGUUCUGAGCCAAACAACUGCUGGGAAAAGCAGGAUAACAACCACGGCCUGCUGGAGGCUGAGCUGGAGUCUGGUACAAGUGCCUGGCAGCCUGGACAUAUUAAAUGGGAAAAGAAGCCAUCACUAAGCUCCAAAGUGAGAAAACAAUUCCCAUAAGGCCUAGUAAAAGACGAAGAAAUUAAAGGUCUACCAGAACAAAUGAAUUAGAUAAUGAAACCCUGGAACUAGAUCAAAACCAGGAGGGGGAGGAGGGAGAAAGGAGCAGAACUGAGAUCAAAUAACAGCUGUGGGAUGCAAAUCAGACUGAAUAUCCUCAAGUCAGGCCCAGAAUGAGGCAGCAUCUGGCAGAAGGAGGGAGAAGGGCAGUGAGAAACCAGAAGAAAAGGAAUGCAGAGUUUGGGAAAGCUGGCUGGAUGACGUUGCACAGCAGAGUACCCUGCACAGACAGAGUCAGGCUCCAGUGCACCCAGCCCAGCUGGGAAGAGAAAAUCCAAACUUUCCACCAGAGGAGGAAGACAAGGAAGAGAAAGGCAAGGAAUUAAUGAGAUGUGAAUCAACAAGACAACAGCGGGAAACAAGGCUGGAUGUGCCCUUACUAUUCUGUGGGAUAAUAGUUACACCCCGAAGGAUCCAAGUUUUAUAAGGAAUUACAACAAACAUAGUGCACUGUAAAUAGGGACUGAUUUGCCUUAGAGAGUCAUAUUUCUGUUGCAGAGUCUUUAAGCCUGAUUCCUUUGCCAUUAGCCAGUUUAGGGUAAUUUCCAUUACCUGGUUUUCCAUUACCAUUUGCCAGUUUUGUGGGAAAGCAUCCAGGAUGUGUUGCACCAGAAGACAAUCAGAAGAGUCACAGGCCACAUGCUCAGGAAUAUUUACCAAAGAGAGAUGUGGUCCCAGUUUCUUGAAGAUACUCAGGUACCUCUUCAGGUGCAUCACAGAACCUCUUUCACAGGCUAGGCUUUCUAAAUCCCAUGAACAUUUUAGGAAAAUUAAGGCUGGGAGUGGGUAAAGACUUUUUAACCAGGAUUUUGGAAAGCAAACUACCUAAAUUCCAUUUAAAAUUCUGAUGCAAGGGUUUACUGAGAUGCCAAUAUGUUCUGACUUUCUAACAUUGGUAUGAUAGAUUGAACUUCUGCACUUCUGCAAGGAGUUAUCUGUGUGUCCAGGAUGAGCCUGAAUAAUGUUCAAACAGGAUUUCCUAACUCAGUGAAGCUAACAGCUGGCAUCAUCCUUCCCCUUUCUCUCUAAUUUCUCUCUGCCUAUUUUUGUCCAAAAUCAUCAGAAGAGUAGAAAAAGAUACGAGGAGAAAGAGAGACAUCCUGUCCUGUCACAGCAGAAAUGAGAUGAUUGGCCUGAAGUCACCAAUGAGAAACUGUUAUAGGGAAAAUUUUAAAAAAAUAAAAUUCAGAGUUUCUACCAAAUACAGGUUUGUUUUAUUUUGCUCCAUUGAACCCAUUAAUAUUUACCUGAAGUAUCAUAUUGUUUCUAUUCCUUGUUUCAAAUAAAGCUACUUAAUUGAUCAAAUAAACACUACUCAGAAAUGAAGGUGGAAUAUGAUUUUAUGUUUAAUGUUUGAAGUUUGUUCUUCCAUAGACUGAAAAUUGAAAGUUCCAGCCAAAGGGAUCAAAAGAAAAGAGAAAAAUGAAGCAGCUGGUGAAAGAGGACAAAGUCUCUGCU